UCCCCUUUUUACUAAUAUGCCAUUUGUCUGUCAUGCAUAGCGAAACUGACUGUGAAAAGUGGAAGAAAAGCACAGAUAUAUGAUAUGUAAAUGGGGAGAAAGCAAAUGAUCACAGAGAACCCUGGAUCUCAGUUUGGGUCUUCCUUGGUGGAAAUGUUUUGUCUGACAGCUGAUGGUUUAGUAUAAUACAGUGCACUUUGAACAACCAGACUGGAGAGAAGACACAUGCAACUAUCUGGCACCAGAUUAUAGCAAUUAGUGGUGUAUUUCAAACUUUUGAUGAAGGAUGACAGAAAGUUGGACUUAUAUAGCCUGGUUUGAUUUUUAACUGCUUGAGUGACUGGUUAAACAAAUGAUAAUACACUUAACAGUUUACUAGGACAGAGUAGUACAGUAAGCAUGAUGAGUUCCUCAUUGGUCAACAUUAAAUUUUACAGAUCUCUUUACCCACAAGGUCACCUACAGUCAUGUUCUUGAAGAGGAAGUCGGGCAUGGCUUGUAUGGCAUGGCUGAACAGAAUAGACUGGCUAUCUCAUCAGCAGACAUCUUUACAUGUACUAAACUGGUACCGGAAAUUUACUGAGAGAAUAUGCACACAUGAAACAAGAUAUCCAGUGGAGUACUUCAAAAGACAGUCUGGUUCUGUUUCUUCAUGGAACAUUGAAAAAGGCCUUUCACCUUGACAUUUAAGCAAGUGUAAAGAAUACCUUAUUGAAGUUCUUCAGUAAAGAGACCACAAAAAAUAGAGGGACAUGCUGUACUACAACUUGUCAAACAGACCGCUGUCACAAAAUGAAGCAAACAUUCUUGUCUGAAUAAACAUCAAAGUGCAUAGCUUGAUUUCCUUACUAAAACAUGAUGUUAAUCAAAGUUUAAAAGUUACACAAUUUUUAUAUGUUUUAGCACUACAUGAAAACAGGAAUCAUUGUAAUUGGGAAGUGAUGUCAGUAAAGAUGGACAUAAAAAGACCAUAUUAUGAUAUACUGUAAUUACCAGUGAAGGAAACAGCAGUACCAUAAGAAACUAUUCAAUACAUGUUCAAUACAUGUAUUUGGAAAAAUUAAAAAAUUAUAAUAAAACUGAAGUUAUCAUGUACAGUCAUUAUUCAGGAUUUCAGAGUGGACUGAUUUACUGAAACUAUUGCAGUUUAGUAACCAAGCACUUUCUUAAACUGUUGUAAUAGAUCACAAUUUCUUAUAGAUUAUUAUAAAAAAAUCUUUUUAUCAGAUAAAAGUGGCUGUUGACACCUUAUUUGUGACUAAUGAAAUAAAAACUAAUAACUAGUAAGAUUCUUCUGAGAAACAAAUUGUCAUAAUGCCUUCUGAGCACAUGCAAACAUCUUUAGAUAUAGUAAAACAUGCACUGUGUUAUCUCAAGUUAUACAUGCAUUUUAUAUAAUAAAAGAACUACCUUGUUUUG
rnacentral:lncRNA from 1 species